CCCCCCCUCAGAUAACAGCGUGGUGUUUCUUGUUGAGUGGGUGUGGCUUCCAGCCGGUGAGCAUCUCCUCCGUGAUUGGUUCCCAUGCCUCGGUCAACAUUCCCUUCUCCAAUCCCACGGAGCACCCAGCCCUGCUCAGCAUAUCACUCACAGAUGAGGACCCGGGUGGGGCCUUCAGCGGCCAAGCAGUUAAAAGAGAUAAGCAGGUGUUCUGGGUCCCUCUCAGACGUACCCAAGGUGAGCUCUGGCUCUAUUUCAAUACCCUUGUCCUGGACUUGUUCUCCUCUCCACUAGGUGGUGACAAAUUUAUUCAACGGAUGCUUUAUUUAAUAGGGUAUCCCUAAACCCUAUGCUAAUGUCGUAUUAUAAUGCUUAUUUCUGCAUUUACUUAUUUUUAUGAAUGGUUGAUGAAUGAAACUUUAAUGUAAAGAGGCUGCCUCCGAAUACUCGUACUUGCAUACUAUAUAGUAUGCAUUUUGUAGUAUGCGAAAAAUCUAGCGCGUCCGAAUGUAGUAUGCAUUCUGUAGUACGGAAGUCAUUUCCGAAUGCAUACUACCGCCAAAGUGAACCACGGACCACACUACGCUAUCCCACAAUGCAACCGGAGUCUGGUAACAAACGAAGAAGAGAUGGCUGACCCGACACCACCAACAGCGGCUUUUUAUUUAUGUGUGUGUGUGUGUGUGUGUGUUCAAUAAAAAAGGAAAAAUUAACUUCAAUCGUCUUUUUCACGGAGUAACAAAUAACUGUAAAUGUAUUAUUAUUAUUCCAAAAAAAUGACUUACCAAAUGUCCACAUAUAUACGACAUAAACUGCCGGUAAGUCGAUCUACGAGAUGACCGACGGCGACGCCUUCUAGCAGAGAUAUCCAUUUCAAGAGCCAUUCGCGUAGAAAGAGACAUUUUUUUAUUUAAUAGCAACGAUAACAAGACGGAAAACAGGUACAUUUUGCCGCCAUCUGGGGGGAGAUACGUCAUCUCCAAACAUCCGGUGGAGUUUCGGCGGCGUUCGGAGGCGUUCUACGCAUGUCUGACCGUACUACACAGUCAAGUGUAGUAUGGUCAAGUAGUAGACACUAGACAGAAAUAGUAUGUACUAGGUAUUCGGAUGCAGCCCAAGUCUUGGUCACGGGCCAGGAAAGGUUGGGAGCCUUUGGCCGGUUAGGUUGGUUCACAUGUGAUCCCUACGCUAGGCUUGCGGGUCGGGGCCGGGGCCUGUUUGGACGUCCCGGUGGUGUUCGCCCCCGAGACCAUGAAACCGCAGCAGGCCUGGCUCUACAUCACCCUGCAGCCCCUCCUCCAGAGCCCGGAGCCUAGUGCAGCGUCCCACCAGCCCGACAGCACCAGGUGGGGGGAUGUUGAUGAAACCCAAAUCAACCAAAGAUUAAUUUGGUUAUUUUACUCUUUAAAAGUCUUUGGCAUCAAAGGCAAAAGCUGAUGAGGUUGUUACAUAAAAAUACCUCAAAGAUAAACUACAAAGGAUAGCUUAAUAUGAU
rnacentral:lncRNA from 1 species